rnacentral:lncRNA from 1 species
UAAAAUUAGUGGUAAAAAAUUUUCUAGAUCGAUCUUGCAGAGGUCAAUUUUAUUAAUUUACGGUUCAUGUAGUUUAACCUGGCGUGUUCGUUUUAAUUUUUCGACUACUUUUUUCUGUCGCAUUUUGGUCAGUCUAAGCCUUUUAACCGGUCAAAUUUUAUUUCAAAAUUGGCUCAAACACUAUAUAUUUCAGAGAGAUUUAUUUCACGUCGAUCAUUUUAGUGCAUUCCUCUUAAUUUUUGGAGUAUUUUUAUACUCAGUUUUUAUUUAUUU